UCCUAAGACAGGACGGCCCAGCUCUCCAGA
rnacentral:piRNA from 1 species